rnacentral:rRNA from 1 species
GACGAACGCUGGCGGCGUGCUUAACACAUGCAAGUCGAGCGGACAGGCCCUGCUCUUGUGGGUUUCUCGUGAGGCGAACGCGGGUGUAUCACGCGAGUAAACUCUCCUUGUCUUAGGGAGAACUUCUCGAAACUGCGGCUAAAAUCGGAUAGGAUCUCUUGCAGCACGUUGGGCGUUGGAAAGUUUCGGCUGUUGGGGAUCGAUUCGCGGGAUACCCGCUUGAUGGUGGGGUAGUGGCUUACCCAGGCUUUGACGGGUAGCCGGCCUGAGAGGGUGACCGACCACCUUGGGACUGAGGGACGGCCGAGACAGGUACGGGAGGCAGCGGUGGGAAAUAUUGAACAAGGGGCGGAAGGCUGGUGCUGAAGCGCCGCGUGCGGGAUGACGGCCUUCGGGUUGUAAACCGAUUUCGCCUGUGACGAAGCGUGAGUGACGGUAACGGGUAAAGAAGCACCGGCUAACUACGUU